rnacentral:rRNA from 1 species
GACCAAGGAGUCUAACAUGUACGCAAGUCAUUGAGAAUGUAAACUCAAAGGCGUAAUGAAAGUGAAAAUCCAUUUUAUGGAUUUGAGAAGAGAUCAUGGCUCUAUUUGAUAUUCCGUAAGGUUUAUUUGAAUAUGAGUAUGCGCAUCUUCUGGACGUCUAUACCUUUGAAGGUUGGGCGUACCUAGAGCGUACACGUUGGGACCCGAAAGAUGGUGAACUAUGCCUGGUCAGAACGAAGUCAGGGGAAACCCUGAUGGAGGUUCGUAGCGAUUCUGACGUGCAAAUCGAUCGUCGGAACUGGGUAUAGGGGCGAAAGACUAAUCGAACCAUCUAGUAGCUGGUUCCCUCCGAAGUUUCCCUCAGGAUAGCUGGCGCUUAUACCAGUCUCAUCCGGUAAAGCGAAUGAUUAGAGGCCUUGGGGCCGAAACGACCUCAACCUAUUCUCAAACUUUAAAUGGGUGAAAAGUCGAGCUUGCUUAAUUGAAGCUAUGACAAUGGAUGGUGAGUGCCAAGUGGGCCACUCUU